rnacentral:lncRNA from 1 species
ACUAUAUCCAUGUCGGUCCUCAUCAUGAUUUUCUUUAACCUCAUGCUUUAAUAAAAGCUAGAGAAAUCCCAUGACUUCAAAAGAAGCUGUAUGUCUCCUAACAAAAUGUCGAGAUCUCAUGAUAGUAAAAUGAGACAUAUCCAUACAACUAUUAUUUUCAAGACAAACAUUUAUUCUUAAGACACCAUGUUGUAUUUUGUUUUAUAUGCAUAUAUAAAUCAUAUAAGAACAAAAUCCAUCAAUUAAUAAAACAGUCAAUCAUAAAUAAAAUUUAUCUAUCAAGUCAAUACGUAAACUUGAAAAACAUUAAACUCCCACUAAUCCAAAA